rnacentral:lncRNA from 1 species
AAUCAUCAAUUUCCUAAUAUGUGUAAAAUAAUGUUGCACUGUUGGAUAAAGUGUUCAGUUGUCAGAAAAAAAAUACUGGCCCGAUUUAAUGAAAUGAUUAUUAGAAUUCCUUAAAAGUUAUUUGUAUAGUCUUUUCCUUUGUAAUAAAUUCGUAAGUAUUACAUGACUACAUAAAUUAACAGCUCCUUAUCGGCUUUUAAAAGUUGUUUUUUUUUCUUUUGGUUCAUCAUAAAAAAAACAAAAACAAACAAACAAACAAAACAGAAGAAACAAUAAAAUCAACCAACCAACCAAAAAUCUAUGUCAAUUUUGCUCUCUUUUUCAUGGAGUUUGAAUUACUGAUAAAGAGAUUCUCAUAAUUUUAAAUAUUAAUAUAAACCUGUACCCAGGUAUUUAAAUAGUAAUCUACAUUAUUCUAGACCUUAUUUUAAGGGUAUUCAGGCCUGAGCCGGUUAAUCUUGGUUUGUUCCCCUCAUUAGAUUUGCGGUCUGCCAUUCUCUGCUCUGCUUUGUACCCUAUGAACUGCACCAUCUA